AGGGUCGGGUCGGGUAACCAAGCCGGCUCACGGGUGGGGAGGGUAUAAGUAAAAUAGGUCGGCGUGCCCAACACACGACCCGGUUUGCCCGCAUCGAACAUUCUCCUAGCGGGGUGGGGGGCCCAGUGGGGGCUGCUACGCGGGGUUGGGCUUGUCCCUUCCUCCCCCCUGCUCCCUUUUUUUUAGCAAAAAAAAAAAAGAAUCGAAUUGCCAACUUUCGUAAAUUUGGAGCACCAUGCCCGAACAAACUCCACUGUUGAUCUAGUUGAAUACAAUGAAUUAAUUAACAAUGAAACAAUCUCAUAUAUUUUGGAAAAAGUGCAAAUCAUGGUAUAAUAUCAUUAGUAAGACAAUAGACAAAAUUACAUUUUUUUCUUACUAA
rnacentral:lncRNA from 1 species